GUCGCGCGCGACGUGAAUCCUGGUCGGUUUCCUUCCCUCCUUGACCGAUGGCACGGGGAUAAAUUCGGUGCCGGAUGACCUACCUGUUAAGCCACAAGCGAGAGACAUAGAGCCGUCGUCGUCGUGUGUGAGUCGCCUGCCACGCAUGUCCUAUCCACCGAGAGUGAGAGAGGACUCGCCGCCGCCAUCCAUUGGUAAAGGCACUUGGGAAUCCGGAGCUGAACCGUGGAGCUGCACAGACCACGCAGAACGUGGGUGACUCAUCCUCGGGCGUGAUUGACGACUGGUGUCGGGGGAAUCGCUCACCGGUGACCACAGGCCGCACCUCUCCGCAGGCAGAGCGCUUCACUGCAUAGUCGUAGACGGGCAAGUGAAUGAGGACACAGAGACUCAGCAGGUGGAUAAUACUAAGCAGGAGCUCGUUGAAGGUGAAGAGCAGGUAGCCCAGGAGGAGGAGGCCUACAAUGAGGAGUAUGAGCUUAUCUAGGUGGCCUCUCCCAGUCAGCUUUAUGGCGCCAAGGAAUAAUACUUAGUUCGCUUUAUUGUUCUCAUUUAUUUUUGUAAGACUUCCGCUAUGUAAUAAUGAUGUUUGUGACAUUUAUCUCUAUACACUUUGUCAUUAUAUGUGAUGUUCUUCUUUGGCAAA